GACGAACGCUGGCGGCGUGCUUAACACAUGCAAGUCGAGCGGAGCGGCGAACGGGUGCGUAACUCGUGAGUAACUGACCCCCUCUCUGGGAUAACAGUUGGAAACGGCUGCUAAUACCGGAUAUUGGGGGAUGACUCGCGUCCUAUCAGCUUGUUUGUGGGGUAGUGGCCUACCAAGGCGACGACGGGUAGCCGGCCUUAGAGGGCGACCGGCCACAUUGGGCUGAGAUACGGACCAAACUCCUACGGGAGGCAGCAGUGGGGAAUAUUGCACAAUGGGGGAAACCCUGAUGCAGCAACGCGCGGGCGGGAUGACGGCCUUCGGGUUGUAAACCGCUUGCAGCCAUGACGCGGUAGUGGCAGAAGAAGCACCGGCUAACUACGUGCCAGCAGCCGCGGUAAUUC
rnacentral:rRNA from 1 species